GAAUAUAAAACAGGACUGCAGAACUCUGAGACAUUCAGCUGAGCUGCUACUAAGAACUAGAAGACAUCACCAAGACAACCAGAGAAACAAACUCUUACAGGAUGAAGAUCCAGACUGUGAUACUGCUGCUCGCUUUAGUGGGUGUGCUGUUAGCAAGCUCACUAAAUAAAGCUAAAUCGGAGGAAGCACUUGUGCAAGAGGAUGAGCUGAAGAAUGUUAUGUCAAAUGUGGCCCUAGCAAAGAUGUAUGCAGCUCUGAAAGCUUCCCAGGAGGCUGAAGAUGAAGCAGCAUUUUUUGGCAUCUUCAAAAAAAUUAAAGAUUAUUUUUCUCCAUCACCACCAGCCACCCCCAGUGUCUGACAUCACUGACAACCUUUCUUUAGUCAAUCGCUCCAUCAUCCCUCCAUCAGCAAUUGACUAACAAAAACAGUUACAGUUUUCUUUUUUACUAAGAAGGUGUACUGUAUUCAUAACCAUGUUCUGUAUUUCACUGACGAUUGGUAAUAUGAAUUAAGUAUAAACAUCCUUGAAUAAAGUAUCACGCAUUA